rnacentral:tRNA from 1 species
CCUUCGAUAGCUAAGUUGGUAGAGCGGAGGACUGUAGAUCCUUAGGUCGCUGGUUCGAAUCCGGCUCGAAGGA